rnacentral:rRNA from 1 species
GACGAACGCUGGCGGCGUGCUUAACACAUGCAAGUGGAGCGACGAACUAGGGCUUGCCCUAGGGCAGAGCCGCGAACGGGUGAGUAACACGUGGGUCACCUGCCCCAAUGACCGGGACAACCCGAGGAAACUCGGGCUAAUACCGGAUGUGCUCGUGAGAGGAAAGGAAGCUUCGGCCUCCGCAUUGGGAUGGGCCCGCGGCCCAUUAGCUUGUUGGUGGGGUAACGGCCUACCAAGGCAACGAUGGGUAGCUGGUCUGAGAGGACGAUCAGCCACA